UACGUAGGGGGGCGAGCGUUGUCCGAAGUUACUGGGCGUAAAGCGCGCGUAGGCGGUCUUUUUAAGUCUGGUGUGAAAGGUUCAGGGCUCAACCCGAACAGUGCACUGGAUACUGGCAGACUAGAGUGCGGUAGGGGAGACUGGAAUUCCUGGUGUAGCGGUGAAAUGCGCAGAUAUCAGGAGGGAACACCGGUGGGCGAAGGCGGGUCUCUGGGCCGAUAACUGAC
rnacentral:rRNA from 1 species